rnacentral:lncRNA from 1 species
CCGGGGUUGCACGAACUCGUGAGUACUCUCUCUCUCUCUCUCUCUCUCUCUCACACACACACACACACACACACAUGUUUGGUAUAUUAGAUUCAAUCGGUCAUUAUUAAUGAAGAAAAUCAAGUUAAGAUGUUGAUUAACUAUCAUACCAAUAUGCCUUUUCAAGUACAGGUCAGAGAAAAAUACAAAUUACUAUACUUUAAUUAUAUAUAGAUUUUCUUCUUGAGCAAUUACACUGAUGUUCCUUAAUUGUACAUUUUUGAAGAGGGUGGCGUGCAAGUGGACCGCCAUGGAGGACGCAGAUGGCACGGUGGAGGUGGAGGGCAUCACUGCCACUAUCCACACUGCAAAGAGGGUGUCCACAGGGAUGAGGCUCGUCAAACCGAGACUGAGACGGAGACUAAAUCUGGAGAAACUGUGAGUACUAAUACAAAUGACAAUGGAGAUAGACACAAGCCGUACAAGCCCUACAAACCCAAACCAAAGCACUGCAAACAUUGGCCACACUGUCAUUAAUCUCCUACUUAUUACGGACAUUAUGUUGAAUAUCGUAAAAGCUUAGCUUUAAAUAUGUUGUAUGUUUUCGAGUCAAUAAGGCAUCUGUUGCCAGUUUGCUAGCAACUGGUUUUAUUUACUGGAGUCUCACUCAAUAUGUAUGUCUUGUCGUUUGCUUCAUGCGAAAGGUUUAAUCCAAUAAAAUGUUGUUUUCAGUUUUAAUAAGGUAUAUUCUUUUUC